rnacentral:misc_RNA from 1 species
GAUGAAGAACGUAGCAAAAUGCGAUACUUGGUGUGAAUUGCAGAAUCCCGUGAACCAUCGAGUUUUUGAACGCAAGUUGCGCCCGAAGCGUUUUGGCCGAGGGCACGUCUGCCUGGGCGUCACGCAUCGCGUCGCCCCCCACAAUUCUCCGUAAAGGGAACAUGUGUUUUGGGGGCGGAUAUUGGUCUCCCGUGCUCAUGGCGUGGUUGGCCGAAAUAGGAGUCCUUUCGAUGGACGCACGAACUAGUGGUGGUCGUAAAAACCCUCGUCUUUUGUUUCGUGCUGUUGCUCGCAAGGUAAACUCUUUAAAAACCCCAAUGUGUCGUCUCUUGACGACGCUUCGACCGCGACCCCAGGUCAGGCGGGACUACCCGCUGAGUUUAAGCAUAUCAAUAAGCGGAGGA